GAGUGGCGAACGGGUGAGUAACACGCGGGUAACCUGCCCAUCAGAAGGGGAUAACACUUGGAAACAGGUGCUAAUACCGUAUAACACUAUUUUCCGCAUGGAAGAAAGUUGAAAGGCGCUUUUGCGUCACUGAUGGAUGGACCCGCGGUGCAUUAGCUAGUUGGUGAGGUAACGGCUCACCAAGGCCACGAUGCAUAGCCGACCUGAGAGGGUGAUCGGCCACACUGGGACUGAGACACGGCCCAGACUCCUACGGGAGGCAGCAGUAGGGAAUCUUCGGCAAUGGACGAAAGUCUGACCGAGCAACGCCGCGUGAGUGAAGAAGGUUUUCGGAUCGUAAAACUCUGUUGUUAGAGAAGAACAAGGAUGAGAGUAAAAUGUUCAUCCCUUGACGGUAUCUAACCAGAAAGCCACGGCUAACUACGUGCCAGCAGCCGCGGUAAUACGUAGGUGGCAAGCGUUGUCCGGAUUUAUUGGGCGUAAAGCGAGCGCAGGCGGUUUCUUAAGUCUGAUGUGAAAGCCCCCGGCUCAACCGGGGAGGGUCAUUGGAAACUGGGAGACUUGAGUGCAGAAGAGGAGAGUGGAAUUCCAUGUGUAGCGGUGAAAUGCGUAGAUAUAUGGAGGAACACCAGUGGCGAAGGCGGCUCUCUGGUCUGUAACUGACGCUGAGGCUCGAAAGCGUGGGGAGCGAACAGGAUUAGAUACCCUGGUAGUCCACGCCGUAAACGAUGAGUGCUAAGUGUUGGAGGGUUUCCGCCCUUCAGU
rnacentral:rRNA from 1 species